AAGGUUUGUCGGCUUUAGAUAGGAAACUUUCGGGUCACGAGAAAAUUGAUGUCAAACCCCGCAAAACCCGCAAUUCUUGCAAAAAACUAGAAAGUUAGAAUCACUAUUCGAUAUUAUCAUUUUUUGCAAGAAUUGCGGGUUUUGCGGGUUUUGACAUCAAUUUUCUCGUGACUCGAAAGUUUCCUAUCUAAAGCCGACAAACCCUUAUCCUAGUUUUUAUGCUCUAUCGAAUGAACAUAGUCCCGAUCCGAAAUUA
rnacentral:snoRNA from 1 species